AGUGCCUGUGACAGGUUGCAGAAAAAUGAAACAGGAUGGGGCCCAGCCCACGGGCGCCACAACUGUGUCAAAUGCAAACCCCCCACCACCACCACCACCAUGAGAGAUGUUGGAGUGGUCACUCUCUCUUUCCCAAGAUGCCUCCGCUUAGGAGACCCCAAGGCUCCAAGAGUACCUCUUCUACCCCAGUUCCGGCACCCCAGUCCACAGCCUCUGCUGCCAGCAGUCAGUGUCUCCCCCCUCCCAGCUGCCUCUGCCUGGCUGGCUCCCAUCCCCCCACAGAAUAGAGCGGAGAGUUCUGGCAUCCAUGGAGAUGGAGAAAUGCAAAAGAUGCUCCAGAUGACAGUUGGCCAGCUUCAGCCUUCCAGUACAGAAGCAGAGAUGGCCUCCUGGCUCAAGGCACUAGCUGUGGCCAUUCAAAGGCCCAUCUUGUUGGUCUUCCACGACGUGUGCAGAACCAUUUGGGGUUCACCAAGGCGGAGGCAGGGAAUCCCAGAUGCUGUUGACGACAACUCCCAGAAUCCCCAAGCAGAAGCCAUUGCAGCGAGGGAGGGAGCUGAAGUUCCACAAGCAGGCUGAUGAGAAGCCAAGAAAUCUGUAGGUAUGGAGACGACGCCAAGGAGCAUUCGUGGAAGUGCCCAACCCGGAUGCCAAGUCCAGUUGCCGGCACGUAAGUUGAAGGUCCAAAAGCCUAAUUGCUCCCCAGGACUGCGUACCUCUCACCGCCGUAGGUGGCAGAAAAAGGACCUUGCAAAAUAACCCCCACAGGGAUGGUGCUGUGGGCGCGUCAGCUUGCCCGACCGAAUAUUGAUCGUGUGGGAGGUGGCUGCCAUGCAGCAGAGGACAAGACUGCCACCCUGUCCUAGCCCGGCGCCAGCAACAUCCCCGCCCAGCAACGAGGCCUACCCGACCCGACCCUACUUUGUGGGUGUGGUCGGAAAACGAUGCUAUCCCACCUGUGGCCCAAUCCAACCACCAAGGGGCUUUGGGAGAAGGCAAGGUUCCAAGUAGUCUUGAGAUUCCGUAAGCUGAAUGAGGAUCAAACGGAGGGACAUCUGGCCAUCUAGGACCAUCAAUAUUACUCUAUUAUUUAUUAUUGUUGUUUUUCUUUUUGUUGUUAUUGAAUAAAGUCAGUUAUUUAAAAACAUCUCCUUCCAGUAUCUGUCUCCCUUGAGGCUUGACAGUACACUAUGUCACUAGGGCCAUUAGAAAGAUUCUCCCGAUGGAAUGACACAAGGUAGGCCAUCUAGUUUGGAGUUGGCGGGAGCAGGCAGGCAGGACCAUCCCUGGCGGGGGGUAUGGGCCUGUGGGCAAUUUGGAGUGAGUGGGGCCUCCUUCUCUGGCUUUUGCUGCGCCCUGGGCAAAGGCAAUUUUCCUGAGCCUCACCAAUUCCUCACCAAUGGCAGACUACCACCCCACUCCAUUUUACAAAUCCGUUAUUUAUUCAUUUUUAAUAUCCAAAUGUGCCAUUUAUAGGUAAAGAAAUAUGCUAUUUAAUGGUGAAGGUGAAGAUACCAGAUAAGAUUGGUGAAGACACCCAAAUCAAACUCAUCCUGAGGAACACUGCUGAGUGCAAUUUCAUCAGCACUAAAUUCUACAUUUGACCCUACAAGACUGGUACUAGGGCUUAAGGCUUUCAUGGUCAACAUUUACAUUCUGAGAGAAGUACAUAAAAUGUACAUAAGAUUAUUUUAAUAAUUGGUUUUAAUAAUUGUUUUAUGCUACUCUUUUGAUUUCUGUUUUAUGCUACGGUUUUAAUUGUUUUGUGUAUUUUCACCUAUGCUGAUUUCUAAAUAUUGUGUUGAAUUUUGUACACUGCCUAGAGAUGUACAUAUCAGGCAGUAUAGAAAUAGGAUAAAUAAAUAAACAACACCCAAAUGACUCCUUUUGAUUUAGAAGACUAGAACAGUCUGGCCAUAUUGAAACAACCGCUCAUGUCCUGUUGUAUUGUGAUUAUUACAGAGAAGUAAGAUGUAAAUUAAUAGCCCUGCUUUUGAAUAAUUUCCCUGGUCAUCAAGAUGAAUUUUAUUUAAAUUACUUGCUUACCAAUCCAAAUUCAGAUGUUGUAUAUACGGUGCCUAGCUAUGUAAUAUGUCAAAUGAGGACUCACGUGGUAUAAUGAACUUUUAUUGCUGUUUUUAUCUUAUUUUUUAUCUGUUUUUAUCUUAUUGAACUGGUCUAUGACCGAAAUAAAUAAAUUGAAUGAUU